UAAAAUUUUCCAUCGUGGAAAUUUCCCAGCUACUGGGCUCUUUAGAUUUUUUUUUUUUUUUUUCAGAGCUGCAAGCAAAGAAUGGAAAUUUCCAAUUGCAGCAUCAAGGGCUGCUGUUCUGCUGACUGUCUUGCUCAGCCAGGGUCAUCUGCUUCUCUAAGACAUCAAGGAAUGCCAAGAUAAACGAAGUCAAUUCACUUCCUCAAUUAGAAGACAAGAAGCAGCUGACUACCGAGCAGUGCUGUGUGGAGACUAACAGCAUUUGUACUAAGGUGGGCAGACAUCAAAGCCUGAGGAAUGAUGCCAGCACUGCUCUGCCAUGUGACUGCUGUAUUGAACAGGAGAUCCAUCCAUGCUGGCCUACUCCAAAGGACACGUAAGCAAAUCAGCACUUGGAGGAAAACGACACAGGAGUGACCAUAGUGCCGGUAAAUUGGAAGAGGCAAAGAGCCACUUUGCUUUGUAGCCUCCACUGAUG
rnacentral:lncRNA from 1 species